CAGCAUCAUGAAGCCUGCAAUACUUGUCCUCAUUCUUGGGCUCUCCGUUCUUGUGGCAGCCGACGAAACUGAGGCGGAAGCUCUAACAAUGAGCGAGGAGGUUAACCCCGAGUUUGAGCACCCACACAGCCUCAGGAAAAGGUUGACUGAUGACCCAAAUGAGGAAAACGACCACGAGGAUUUUGGUAGGAGCUAUGACAGAAAAAUCUAGAACUGUGAAGAUCUCAAGAACGGAGGAAAGUGACGGAGACUCUCUACUCGACUUGGGUAAAUCCAUCGAUAAAUUUUCUCUUAGAACACAAAAUACAGAAGGUUAAGCAGAAGAAAAGACAGAAAAUUAAGUAAGAUC